rnacentral:misc_RNA from 1 species
GAUGAAGAACGUAGUGAAAUGCGAUACGUAAUGUGAAUUGCAGAAUUCAGUGAAUCAUCGAAUCUUUGAACGCACAUUGCGCCCCUUGGUAUUCCGAGGGGCAUGCCUGUUCGAGCGUCAUUUCAACCCUCAAGCACAGCUUGGUCUUGGGCUUCGCCGCUAACCCGGCGGGUCUUAAAAUCAGUGGCGGUGCCGUCGGGCCCUGAGCGCAGUAAUCUCUCUCGCUAUAGGGUCCCGGCGGAUGCUGGCCAGUAACCCCCAAUUUUCUAUGGUUGACCUCGGAUCAGGUAGGGAUACCCGCUGAACUUAAGCAUAUCAAUAAGCGGAGGA